rnacentral:pre_miRNA from 1 species
AAUAAGAUCAUUUUCAGUUUUUUGAUACAGUGUUUUGACUUUUCGUCUUAUUUAAAUUUUUUGUGAUUAAUAUUUUUUCUUACUAGAUGAUAAAACAUGAAUAAUACUUUAUACGUGACUAAUUUUUUUAGUUUUUAUACAAAUUUUCAAAUAAGACGAAUGGUCAAACGUUGGAUAUGGAAAAAC